UACGGGGGGAGCAAGCGUUGUUCGGAUUUACUGGGCGUAAAGGGCGCGUAGGCGGCUCGGCACGUCCGUUGUGAAAGUCGCCCGGACUCGAACGUGGGCGGGGUCGGACGGAUACGGCCGAGCUGGAGCAAGCGUAGGGGGUAAGUAGGAAUUCCCGGUGUAGUGGUGGAAUGCGUAGAUAGUCUGGAGGAACACCGGUGGCGAAGGCGGCGUUCGUGGACUGGUAUCUGACACUGAGGAACGAAAGCCAGGGGAGCAAACGGG
rnacentral:rRNA from 1 species